GAAAGAGGGAAGGCGCCAAAUGAGGAAAUACUGGACGGGGGCUGAACAUAAUACAGAAAAGAGAGUGACGUCUUCUUAUUUUACUACGAACGGUGAAGUUUGCUCGGAGAAAGAUGAAAAUCAGAGGAAGAAGAAGAGAGAGGGAAAUGGACACGAUGUGAAAAAAAGAGUUGUGUCUCCUUAUUUUAGCGAUAUAAAGGAUGUUGAAGGAAGUUCGAAGAAAGGGAGAAAGAAAAGCAACGGGGGGAAGCAAAAGAUGGAUGGGCAGCAUAUUCAAAAGAGAGUUUCGUCCCCUUAUUUUCAGAAGGAAAG
rnacentral:lncRNA from 1 species